GUCUGGAUGGUCUAGUUGGUUAUGACGUCGGUCUCAUAGUUCCAACUGUGAUCUUGUUAAACACAAGAGGUAUCCGAAGGUCGUGAGUUCGAUUCUCGCUCUGGACA
rfam:Cladophialophora immunda strain CBS 83496 unplaced genomic scaffold supercont1.4, whole genome shotgun sequence.